rnacentral:lncRNA from 1 species
ACAUCUACCGGGUGUAGCAGUGUAGAGAUCGACCUGUAACUGUUCAGCUCCGUGCCCUCGCCGACCUCGCGGGGAGCAUUCCUCGCUUGCCGACGGCAUGUGCUGCCGCGAGACUGCGGGAGCUGCGAGCAUGUGUAUGGCGGUUCUCAACCACCGUUCCCACUGGCGACACCGCGACACGGCACUGGUUCGCCUAGAUCGAAACAUUAGCUUGUCCUCUCCUGGUAGCGGCGGCAAGAUGCGGUGAUUUGUUGUCCUUAGAUUAUCUUCCUCCGAGGCGAUUUGUUCUGCCUGAACUCCCCAAACGCCAAUCCUGCCACGGGAUUAUCUCUGGAAAAUUUAAUCAUCUGAAAUUCAAAUCACAGUGUAAAUCUGUAAACACAAACGCACAUGAGAAGAAUAAAUCGUGUCGAAAUCGAAAUCGUGGAUUGAUUUUAUUUUCAGGCUCCCGCAGACGAACUUGCAGAAAAGAAAGAAUUCUCUGAAGUCUGAAGCCGUGAUGGCCAUGGCCAUCGCCCAUCAGCAACCGCGCCUACGCGUUGCUUCUGGUGCUCCCUGUCGUGGCCGUGCUCCUCCGCGGAGAACCUGCCCACUCGUCGGCAGACUUACCUCUCGGCGGGCAGGCACUGUGCGGCUGCCUCCGGCGCUGUACCACCCGCGCUUCGCCGCGAAGGCGGUGGGGGGCCAGCUCCGGCGGUAGCCUGGCUUCGUCGCUAGUCCUCGUCCUUGGCGACGUCAAGGUUUGGGCCUCCACCAUAACGGCCACCGGAGGUGAAGGGGAUGACCAGAUGAGAUAGGGAGACAGGAGCAAGUGGACAGGAUAAAAGAUGGAUGGGGACCCACAUGUCCAGUCCAUGUCAUCGUACAAAUCAUGCCACGUAGGCGAUUUAAUGUAAGCUAACCAUGUUUUGGACCUCGGUGA